rnacentral:rRNA from 1 species
CAGUGACGGGCACAUUCAUGAUGAACGGGGCUUUCCGGAUAGACAGUGGCAGACGGGUGAGUAACACGUGGGAACGUACCCUUUGGUUCGGGAUACCGUGGGAAACUAGGGCUAAUACCGGAUACGCCCUUUAUGGGGAAAGGUUUUACUGCCGAAGGAUCGGCCCGCGUCUGAUUAGCUUGUUGGUGGGGUAACGGCCUACCAAGGCGACGAUCAGUAGCUGGUCUGAGAGGAUGAUCAGCCACACUGGGACUGAGACACGGCCCAGACUCCUACGGGAGGCAGCAGUGGGGAAUAUUGGACAAUGGGCGCAAGCCUGAUCCAGCCAUGCCGCGUGAGUGAUGAAGGCCUUAGGGUUGUAAAGCUCUUUUGUCCGGGACGAUAAUGACGGUACCGGAAGAAUAAGCCCCGGCUAACUUCGUGCCAGCAGCCGCGGUAAU